rnacentral:rRNA from 1 species
AUGCAGAAAUCUAUGAUCAGUACACCAAUGCUACCUAGCAAAUUCCUCUGCCUCAAGUACUUGCAUAUUUCUCUAAUUGGAGAUGAGGCUAUUUCACCAGCUUAUGAUUACCUUUCUCUGGUUUCUUUUCUUGAAGCUUCUCCUUGCCUGGAGACAUUCAUCUUGGAAGUGCGGCAGCCUUACAUGAAGCAUGAUUCAGUUGUCGAGGAUUCCUCACACCUAAGGUGGCUACCACAGCAGCGUCACAACAGCCUAAAGAGUGUGACAAUCGUCGGCUUCUGCUCCGCAAAGAGCUUGGUCGAGUUGACAUGCCACAUUGUUGAGAAUGCGACAUCGCUCGAGCGCCUCACGUUAGACACCACUCAUGGUUGUCAGAGUUCUGGUGGGUGUAGCGUCGAUAAACCUAACAGAUGGUUCUAUGCAGAGAGGGGUAUCCUCAUGGCGGCCCCGCCUGACCGAUGCCUCCCUAUGGGGGAGGAUAUCCUCAUGGAGUCUCACAGGGCGCGUUUGGCUAUCAGAAGACAUGUCGAACGGCAAGUUCCCUCUGGAGUCGUGUUAAAAGUCGUCGAGCCUUGCAGUCGGUGCAUAAUGUUGAACUUUUAG